rnacentral:tRNA from 1 species
GGCCUCGUAGCUCAGCUGGUAGAUCGUGCGUUGUACAGAAGCGUAGGAGACGUUGAUGCGUGGGUUUGAAUCCCACCGAGACUA